ensembl:lncRNA
AUUUUACUGGAGAUCCCUGUAUGCAUGAGGCCUUCUGAAGAGGUAGUCAACAUGAAGUUGUUGAUUGGAAUCCAGGAUUACAUCAGACCUUGUUACUGGAUAACUAUGUGAGUGGAGGCACUUACUGCCUCAGGAAUCAGAGGAUGGGGAAGCUCUGCUUGUAUUCUCACCUGUUUCAAAUCAAUAUAAUGACCUUCACUGAAGCUAUAAUUACAUUGGUAUAAGUCAGGGAUGCAUCAAGCCUCCGAAUAUUUGAUUUGUCCUCAAGCAGAGGUUAUGGAGGUUGCUCCAAGAGAAACUGGACUGACACCACCAAACUCAUUAGACUUGGGUCCUUGAACACUGUUUUUGUAUUAAAGAGAAAAGAAACCUAGCAAGGGUGAAUGUUAACGAGCAGCUUUGCUGGCAAACCUCUUACCUUGAAUGGCUAAAGGAGAAAAGGAGAUGCUGGAGUAGAGAAGUAAGGAGAUCUGCCAGCACGGAUGGGAUGUGUUCCCAGUCUUCGGAUUGCAAUUCAAGGUGUGUGUGUGUCAGGUCAUCCUUUGCAGCACCUCUGCUCUUUCAGACCGUGAGCACUGUGGGCUGGUGUGUAACCUUGUCUGAGGCCAAACCUCCAUGUGGGCAGACCCUCCUUGUGUCCUGGGCACUGCGAACAAGUGCUAAUUAACUAAUUUAUUUAUAAUAAAGGAUCCUUACUGUAUUUUCAUUGGAGAUACAGCAGCCCCUUUUUAGCCAGUAUUUGCCAUUCUGUCAAUCUAAAGAUGAUUUAUGGCUGGGGAGCACGGCCAGGCACAGCUGCUAGGCUCUGAGCUGCUCCACAAAGCCUUGCAGAUUGUAUUUCUUUCCUCAAGACUUUUAAGCAUCCUUUAGGAAGGGCAUGAGAUGGAUUAAAUUUCUGUAGUAUGAAUGUAGGAGUAACUUUAUGAAACUGAAUCUAACUUUUUGCUUGAAGCUUUCUCAUUAAAUUUCCUGGCCUCAGUGUUACUAUGUAUGUCCGUGUAUUUAGUGGGCCUGUACUGAGCCUGACUGAGCCAAGGAUGUUGCAAUUCACUCUUCAGAUCCUUGUAGAGCUCUGAAUUUAAACACAUCCAACAAGCAAAAGGAUUCACUUUUUUCAUUUAUAAAGCAGAGAAAGUCUACACAACGAGUUUGGUAUUAUGCGGGGGAGUCUGCAACUGAACUUGGACAUCUCAGGUUUUACCUUCAUGGUGUUCUCUGCAGAAACUCCUGGCCAAUGUACAGCCACGUGGCUGAAAUAGCUUUCACGUUAAGCAGCUUGGUUGUUUUGAGUCAUCUUUUUCUGAUUUACAAAAGAAGUGAACAAAAAUGUCUGGAUCUCUGCUUUACUGAACACCUCAUCCUUGGGAAUAAUGCAUCUUUCCCAAAGGAUGAGGCAAUAGAUGACCCCCAUAGGUCCAAAGCAUUUAGGUAAGGGGAACAGUGCCCCUGGAAAUGAAAUGAAAUGCUUUACCAAACUAAACGGGCACCAGGGAAUUGUUUAUUGUAUUAUUUACAGCAAAUAAAUUGUAUUCUUCCUAGCAUACAAUUGUUAUGUGUCUUAGAUGUAUAGCUCUUAAAAUGGAAUCUUUUGUUCUUAAGAUGAAGGCAUGCUUAAAUGUUUUAUCUAAAAUAUUUAUAACUUCUACGUCUGUUCAGAAGGAGCUGUUGUCUGACAGAUUAAAAAAAA